GACGUAGGGCGCGAGCGUUGUCCGGAUUUAUUGGGCGUAAAGAGCUCGUAGGCGGCUUGUCGCGUCGGCUGUGAAAUCCCGUGGCUCAACUGAGGAAGUGCGCCCGAAACUGCUGAGCUCGAGUGCCGGAGAGGGUGGCGGAAUUCCCCAAGUAGAGGUGAAAUUCGUAGAUAUGGGGAGGAACACCGAUGGCGAAGGCAGGUCACUGGGCCGCAACUGACGCUGAGGAGCGAAAGCAUGGGGAGCGAACAGG
rnacentral:rRNA from 1 species